rnacentral:rRNA from 1 species
AUUGAACGCUGGCGGCAUGCCUUACACAUGCAAGUCGAACGGCAGCACGGACUUCGGUCUGGUGGCGAGUGGCGAACGGGUGAGUAAUGUAUCGGAACGUACCUUUCAGUGGGGGAUAACGUAGCGCAAGUUACGUUAAUACCGCAUAUUCUGUGAGCAGGAAAGCAGGGGAUCGCAAGACCUUGCGCUGAUUGAGCGGCCGAUAUCAGAUUAGCUAGUUGGUGGGGUAAAGGCCUACCAAGGCUACGAUCUGUAGCGGGUCUGAGAGGAUGAUCCGCCACACUGGAACUGAGACACGGUCCAGACUCCUACGGGAGGCAGCAGUGGGGAAUUUUGGACAAUGGGGGCAACCCUGAUCCAGCCAUGCCGCGUGAGUGAAGAAGGCCUUCGGGUUGUAAAGCCCUUUCGGCCGGGAAUAAAUCGCAUAGGUUAAUACCCUGUGUGGAUGACGGUACCGGAAUAAGAAGCACCGGCUAACUACGUGCCAGCAGCCGCGGUAAUACGUAGGGUGCGAGCGUUAAUCGGAAUUACUGGGCGUAAAGCGUGCGCAGGCGGUUUCGUAAGACAGAGGUGAAAUCCCCGGGCUCAACCUGGGAACUGCCUUUGUGACUGCGAGGCUAGAGUACGGCAGAGGGGGGUGGAAUUCCACGUGUAGCAGUGAAAUGCGUAGAGAUGUGGAGGAACGCCGAUGGCGAAGGCAGCCCCCUGGGCCGAUACUGACGCUCAUGCACGAAAGCGUGGGUAGCAAAC